ACCAUGUGAACUUCUUGUAUAUGUUGUGCCUGAUGAACUUGUGGGCUUUCUACGAAGGAGUGGCUAAGGGAAGAGCAACUGCUAUCAACUGCCUGGACUUGUGUAAAGCCUUUAACACUGUCCUGCAUGACAUCCUGGUCAUCAAACUGGGAAAGCAUGGACUUGAGGAGUGGACCACUGGCUGGAGGUCAAGAGGUCUGUGGCCAGAAGGAAGGAACUGGCCUUUCCUAAAGAGGAUGUCACUGGAGUCUCCUACAGAAGCAUCCACACUGCAGCCCUUCAGAAAACCUGGUCAGUCCCAGCCAGAAGUGCAGGCUGAGCUUGGUUAUAUCCACCGCGUACCACAGGAGGGCAGCGCUGGGUAAGUUUGCAGCUCCAAUGAUGCAGGAGGGCAGCGCUGGG